rnacentral:miRNA from 1 species
UGAGUCAUGUUGGUAGAUGUU